rnacentral:rRNA from 1 species
UAUAAGUAAAAUGCUAUUAGAUAUUUUUAGGUGUUUUGUUGGGGCAACAUGGAUAAAAAUUUAUCUGUCUAAAAAAAUUACAAAAGAUUUUUGUAUGUAAUUUAUAAGAUCCUUUAUAGAGAUUACAAGAUUAAGUUACUUUAGGGAUAACAGCGUUAUUUUACUUGAGAGUUCAUAUCGAAAGUAAAGUUUGCGACCUCGAUGUUGAAUUAAAAUUUCUUUAUGGUGUAGCAGCUAUAAGAGAGAGUCUGUUCGACUUUUAAAAUUUUACAUGAUUUGAGUUCAGACCGGCGUGAGCCAGG